AUUACAAUUUUCUUGUCGUAUCCUCCCCAUCCCGGAUCCGAAAGCUCGCGGUCGGCUUCCAGUCGGGCGGAUCUUGCCUGCGUCGCCGGCGCCGGCCAAGCGGGACACGGACUCAGUGCUGUCAGCAGCAAGCCUAGCGCGGAUAUGGUUGUCCGGUGCCGGUGCUGUGACAUACGCCGAGUUCUUGCACCUCAGCUGCAACGCCACCGAGCCGGACGCAAGCCCGUGUACUCCAUCACGCGCUCGAUGAGACGGAUGCGUGCCUGCCAAGGCCGUCUUCCUCAGCUCCAUGUGGAAGUGUUGAGAACUGCUAGCUAGCUGCUGCACACAAAUCUAAUGGGUGUGUGAGCAAAUCUAUAUGUGAAGCAUCACUAUUGUACUUUGCUGGAAUCUGGAAGGUAAAUAUCGCUUGAUCAGCUAUAGACACAAUAUGAUAGCGUUGGCAGAAAGUCUCAUCAUUGACGGGUCCACUGGUUCAAGAUACUCUUCCUACUCCAGCACCGACUCCCUAGAGG